UAUUAUUAGAUUCAACAAACACGAAAUGUCUCGUGUCAGGUUACUGUAUGGGUUCUGUUUGCUUACUCUUCUUUUCUGGACUAUUCUUUUUGGUGAUCAGUAACCUACAGCAGACCUGUGGAUCCAGCCCAUGGAUCACAAGCCAAGCAGCACCAGAGGACACUCACAUUGAAGACCACCCGAGGUGUAAGGUGGACAGGGUGGGGGCUUCAGUGUCCAGCGAGAGAAGAAGCAAGUGCCUCACCCUGGGCUGGCUACCAGUGGCUGGAGCUGACUGAUGGAAUGAGAUUUCCUGUCCAUGUGCUUCCAGAUGCCAUGGUACCUGGGGAGAUCCAGGGGAUGCCAACGGAUUGCUGGUGGUGGUGAUGGCUUUGCCUGGCCGAAUCAUUGUGGAAGAGCAAGAAGGGAAACUGCCUGGCCUCAUGGAUCUUUUCCUGUAAAUCUUCUCUUUCUGCCUUCCAGGCUUAUCGUAAUAUAGGUACUGGCUUUAAAUUACCCCCUUGAGAACGGCGCCAGGUGCCUCUCCCACGCUAUAUUUUGCAACAAGCCUUGUUAUUUCAUACAUGUUAUUUUCUUUUCCAUGCCUUAAAAUGCUACCUAAAACCCCCACACGAUGUUGCAUAGAAGUAGUGAAAGUAAUUGAAUGUCUUUGAAUUGUUUCUGAUUUUAAGUUGAGAUGGUCAAAUAGUGAUCAUAUAGGUUUAAUAAGAUGAAGAAUUACACUAAAAAAUUCUCUAAUAUCAAACCAUUAAUAAUGCUGGGAAAAACAGUUUGUUCCUGUUUUAUUUUAUGUACAGUACUGAAUUUUCUUUUCUAACUUUUUAAUUAGCAGGGUUUGUUUUUUUUUCCUUAGCAGAUUGGCUUCUGUAGUAAUGAGUGCAAUUGUCCUGGGAUUUUUCUGACGUGUAUUUGAUCCGAUUGGACCUCAAAGUUAUGCUAAAUGAUUCAGUUAACCUGAAAGUUUGAGUGAGACUGAAAUUAUUUGUUUCAUGAAUAUUUGAUAGAGCUUGCUGGUUAAACCCUUGAAGUCUGAGGUUUUGAUUGUUGGGAGAUUUUUAACUUCAUUAGUUAAUUCAAAUUUCCAUAAUGAUGGUAGUGUUUACUGACAUCAGGAAGGUAAAUGCUUCCACUGCGGCCCAAUAUCAAGCUACCCACAGUUUCACAAUAGCUCACACAAUUCCUUUCUGUUUAGUGAUUGAUUCUUGGAUCCACUCUAGUCUGAGAUAGCUUCAGGGCAAGAAUUUAGAGCUUCUAUGUCUGCCGUGAUUUUGUUUUUUAAUGGAAAUAAGUGUUACUUUUUUCCCCCUUGAAAUUUGUCCAUUUCUUCUUUUCUAAUUUAUUGUUAUAAAAUUGUUCAUAUUAUACUUUCAAGUCCAUAAAUGUCUUUUUCAUUCUAAGCAUUAUGUGGGGGGCGCUGUUUAUUUUCUUGAUCCAUUAUUCUAAUGGUUUGGCAACUUCUGUUUUUGUUGGACCUCUCUCUCUGUCUUUUACACUGUAUUGACAUUUACUCAUCUUUAUUUUUUCUUCCAUCUCUACUUUCCCUGGGUUUAUGCUAUGCCUUCUAACUUAAGCUGGGUGCUUUGUCAGCCAGGAUUUUGGCAAGAAAUAGCAUAUUCAAAGGCUGAAGAUAAUUUAGUAAAAGGAUAUUUACAUAGAUGCCUGGGCUAAAGAGACCCCCCAAAGAGAAAUUGCCUGGAAGUAGCAACAGUAGAAAGCCAUCACCAUACCUACCUUGGGAGGGGGAAAUGGAUCCUUUUCAGACCCCUGAUAAGAAUGGUGGCUGCUCCAGCAAACCCAUCACCUUAGGCAAAGUCUCUAACCAAACCAUGGCUCGGUAAGCAGGGAACAGUGGAUAGAAUUCUUGUCUCUUCCAAACCUCCAUUGAGUGUCAGUGUUGCUCAUAGAGUAAACCCAACUAAAAGUCAACCGGCAGGUAACUGGGAGAAUGCAGCCCUCACACGUCAGUCUUUUAGGGUCACAGAACAAGAGAGAAAAGGGCAACCAAUGGAUCUAGUGGGGCAAAAUGAAAGGAAUGUCAGAGGGAUGUGGCUCAUUUAUUUUCAUCUCCUCACCCCAGUUUGUGAGUUUAGGGCUAUAUGCUUUCCUCUAAGUACCACUUUGGCUGCAUCUCAAAAAUUGUAAAAUGUGAUGGUAAUUUAUUAUCGUUGCUAAAUGUUUUGUAAACUCUUAAGAUUUCUUCUACAACCUUGUGAAUUAUUUAGAUGUAUGUCUAUUUCAAACCCAAGGGCUUUGUGUCUCUCUUUUUGGGAUGGUUUUUUAACUUCAUCACUCUGUGACCUGAAUUGGUCUGUUUGACACUAGUUCUUGGAAAUGUUUUGAGACCCGAUUUCUGUUCUAGUAUGUAAUGUUCUCUAUGUGGCUGAAAUGAUUGUUUUGUAGUGUUUGGUUGCAGUAUUCUGAAUAUAUCUACUAAUUUCCAUUAAAUUACCUACUUGUUUAUUCAAAU
rnacentral:lncRNA from 1 species